GACGAACGCUGGCGGCGUGCUUAACACAUGCAAGUCGAACGAUGAUGCCCAGCUUGCUGGGUGGAUUAGUGGCGAACGGGUGAGUAACACGUGAGUAACCUGCCCCUGACUCUGGGAUAAGCGUUGGAAACGACGUCUAAUACUGGAUAUGAYYACCGGCCGCAUGGUCUGGUGGUGGAAAGAUUUUUUGGUUGGGGAUGGACUCGCGGCCUAUCAGCUUGUUGGUGAGGUAAUGGCUCACCAAGGCGACGACGGGUAGCCGGCCUGAGAGGGUGACCGGCCACACUGGGACUGAGACACGGCCCAGACUCCUACGGGAGGCAGCAGUGGGGAAUAUUGCACAAUGGGCGAAAGCCUGAUGCAGCAACGCCGCGUGAGGGAUGACGGCCUUCGGGUUGUAAACCUCUUUUAGUAGGGAAGAAGCGAAAGUGACGGUACCUGCAGAAAAAGCACCGGCUAACUACGUGCCAGCAGCCGCGGUAAUACGUAGGGUGCAAGCGUUGUCCGGAAUUAUUGGGCGUAAAGAGCUCGUAGGCGGUUUGUCGCGUCUGCUGUGAAAUCCCGAGGCUCAACCUCGGGCUUGCAGUGGGUACGGGCAGACUAGAGUGCGGUAGGGGAGAUUGGAAUUCCUGGUGUAGCGGUGGAAUGCGCAGAUAUCAGGAGGAACACCGAUGGCGAAGGCAGAUCUCUGGGCCGUAACUGACGCUGAGGAGCGAAAGCGUGGGGAGCGAACAGGAUUAGAUACCCUGGUAGUCCACGCCGUAAACGUUGGGCGCUAGAUGUAGGGACCUUUCCACGGUUUCUGUGUCGUAGCUAACGCAUUAAGCGCCCCGCCUGGGGAGUACGGCCGCAAGGCUAAAACUCAAAGGAAUUGACGGGGGCCCGCACAAGCGGCGGAGCAUGCGGAUUAAUUCGAUGCAACGCGAAGAACCUUACCAAGGCUUGACAUACACCGGAAACGGCCAGAGAUGGUCGCCCCCUUGUGGUCGGUGUACAGGUGGUGCAUGGUUGUCGUCAGCUCGUGUCGUGAGAUGUUGGGUUAAGUCCCGCAACGAGCGCAACCCUCGUUCUAUGUUGCCAGCGCGUUAUGGCGGGGACUCAUAGGAGACUGCCGGGGUCAACUCGGAGGAAGGUGGGGAUGACGUCAAAUCAUCAUGCCCCUUAUGUCUUGGGCUUCACGCAUGCUACAAUGGCCGGUACAAAGGGCUGCGAUACCGUAAGGUGGAGCGAAUCCCAAAAAGCCGGUCUCAGUUCGGAUUGAGGUCUGCAACUCGACCUCAUGAAGUCGGAGUCGCUAGUAAUCGCAGAUCAGCAACGCUGCGGUGAAUACGUUCCCGGGCCUUGUACACACCGCCCGUCA
rnacentral:rRNA from 1 species